CUAGAGACCCAAAGCGAGGUACUAGCCAUGAAGGAACAGAACCAGGCUUUGCUGAAGGAGGUGAAGGAGGUGAUUGGGGCCCAAGUGAGUCACAGCCAACAGCCGCAGACAAAGCAGCAACUGGCCGGGAGCCACAAAUUGACCAUUGCCAACAAUCGUGUCACCAUUCUCCGCAACGUGUUGCAGGCUCUUAUACAAAGCAGUGGUAUCAAUUGGGCUGCAGAUCCUAACCUACUUGGUUUUUGUCCUGCAAAUGGGCAAAGACAAGAAGUUUUAACCGUGUUAAAA